rnacentral:rRNA from 1 species
UACAGAGGGUGCAAGCGUUAAUCGGAAUUACUGGGCGUAAAGCGUGCGUAGACGGUUAUGUAAGUCAGAUGUGAAAGCCCCGGGCUCAACCUGGGAAUUGCAUUUGAGACUGCAUAGCUAGGGUGCGGAAGAGGGAAGCGGAAUUUCCGGUGUAGCGGUGAAAUGCGUAGAUAUCGGAAGGAACAUCAGUGGCGAAAGCGGCUUCCUGGACCAGCACCGACGUUCAGGCACGAAAGCGUGGGAGCAAACAGG